CAUUUUAGUAAGUGAAGGAGGAAAAAUCCUCAUGUUGUAUGUCAGUUUAGAAAUUGUCAGAUUUUUUUUUCAAGCUUGUCAAAAACUUCUACAGAAGGAAGACAAUUUAACAGCCAUCUCUUAUUUUUUAAAUAAAAAAAAAAAAAGUGGCUCACGCUUGCACCUCAGAAGUAAGUAGUGGGGUUCCGCACGCACACCUUCACGAGGUGAAAGCAAAAUGGAGGACUCGGCCUCCACGCUGCUGCCAUCUUCAGCCGUGACUGCAACCUCCACCUCAACUCCAGCUGUCCCGACAGCAUGGAAACAGCUGGACAAAGAGCAGGUUAGAAAGGCAUUGGACACUCUCUUGACACAUUGCAAGUCCAGGAAGAACGAUUAUGGGUUGCUUUUGAAUGAGAAUGAAAAUUUAUUUUUAAUGGUGGUAUUAUGGAAAAUUCCAAGUAAAGAACUGAGGGUCAGAUUGCCCUUACCUCAUGGUACUCGAUCGGAUUUAGAAGAUAUCUGUUUAUUUAUGAAGGACGAACCCAAUUCAACUCCUGAAAAGACAGAACAGUUCUAUAGAAAGCUUUUAAACAAGCAUGGAAUUAAAACCAUUUCUCAGAUUAUCCCCUUCCAAAGUCUAAAGAAGGAAUAUAAACCCUUUGAAGCCAUACUCCGCCUUCUGAGCACGUUUGACUUCUUCCUUACUGAUGCCAGAAUUAGGGGGCUCUUACCCUCACUCAUUGGGAGACAAUUCUAUCAAAGAAACAAAGUUCCGGUAUCUGUAAACCCUCUGUCCAAGAAUUUAUCAAGAGAGAUCAAUGACUGUAUAGGUGGAACAGUCUUAAACAUUUCUAAAAGUGGUUCUUGCAGUGCUAUACGCAUCGGUCACAUUGGAAUGCAGAUUGAGCACAUCAUUGAAAACAUUGUUGCUGUCACCAAAGGACUUUCAGAAAAAUUGCCGGAGAAGUGGGAGAGCGUGAAACUCCUGUUUGUGAACACUGAGAAAUCGACUGCUUUUCCCAUCUUUUCCUCAUUUGUCAGCAAUUGGGAUGAAGCCACCAAAAAAUCUAUGCUUAAUAAGAAGAAAGAAGAGGCAAGGAAAAAAUGAAGAGAAAGAAAUCAUGAAAAACAAAAGGAGAGCAACAAAAUCAGAAACAAUAAACAGCAGGCUAACAAGCCUGCAUCAGCCCUUAGUAAAGACACCGUGGCACCUGAAAGUGGGGACGCUACAGUGGAGACAUCUGAAUCGAAGAAGGAGCAGACCCCAGAGCAUGGGAAGAAAAGGUCUGGUAAAGGAAAAGCCCAAGUUCAAGUGGCACAUGACCCCGAAGACGAAAUUCCACAGCUGGUACCAAUAGGAAAGACUCCAGCUAAGGAGAAUAUGGAGAUUCAAAAACAUGCCACAGGAAAGAAGUCUCCAACAAAGAGUCCUAUUCCCAGCACACCUCGUGGGAAGAAAAGAAAGGCCUUGCCAGCAUCUGAGAUCCCAAAAGCUGCAGAGUCUGAGACCCCAGGGAAAGGCCCAUGGAAGAAGCCAAAAAUCAAAGAAGAGGCAGUGAAGGAAAAUAAUCCUUCGCUGGGAAAAAAAAGAUGUGAGACAGACUCCUAAAAAGCCAGAGGCCAAGUUCCUCACCACUCCUAGUAAAUCUUCAAGAAAAGCUUCCCACACCCCCCCAAAAACUGCCCCAAAAAACCAUAGUGCCCCAGUCAACCUAAAAUCAGUGAUUCAACCAGAAGGGAACCUCAGAGCUGCCCUCAGAGCUUAUUAGAAAUACUCAGGUCCUGACUCCAUUGGCAGCCUUCUCCAAGCGUCGGGCCUAGACUUAAAGAUUUUUU